AAAAAACCAAAAUGAAGUAAAGCUAAACAUUCAACCUCUCAGUCCCACUGACUACAGUUCAUGUGUUUAAUAUUCAUGUGUGGCUAGUAGUUACAGUGCAGAUUUUCCAUCAACACCAAAAGUUCUGGACAGCACUGUGUCCCAUCAUUCCCCUAUCCCUAUUUACUUCAGUCAUCACCACAGGUUCAAGCUCCCUCAUCUAUUAUCACCUCCAUCCUUGUCCUCCCACUAGGCAUAAGUUCCCUGCUCCCUGCCCUCAGGCACAUCCUUCCUCUGUGCCCUCUGCAACCUGUAAUCAGCAAUUUCUCCAUAUCGUCAGCCUUUUCUCAGAAUGUUGUCUUCACCUCCUUGACUUACCUAAAAUUUUGUUAGCCCUGAUUUGUACACUGAUUCUUUAGCAGCACUCUUAAGUGAAUGUUAUUUUCUUCUCAUUCUCCUGUACCUCAGGUCAGGAAGUGGUAAGUGUAUUUCUCUCCCAACCUGAAUGCCAUUUCUAAGCCAGUGCUCCCCCAACCCCUCCUACAAAAACCCUGUUCCUUUGAAGCUUCACUGUCUGGGCAUACCAUCUUGGUUAUUGUCCUCAAUCAACCUCCAGGUCUCUCACUGCCCAUCAUUUAACUCUUGGCUCAUUGCCUCUCUCUCUCCACCCUAAAUUUUGUUAUAUUGAGUGGGCUCCACAUCCAUGUGAUGGCCUCUCCAUCACUUCCUUGACCACCUCAUCUCCAGAGAUAUUUUCCACACUCCACAGCAGCUGCCCACUUCCGUAGUCACACCCUCAACUUUGUGUUCACCAAAAGCCAUUCCACUUCCAAUAUGGAGACUUUCCAACUACAACCUUUUCCUUAAUUAAAUCUCCCUUAAUAAUUCUUUGACCUUUAUCAUGAGUUCUGAUCCCUUGACUUCACUAAUGUCUCACUACUCAUGAGAUUCACUUUUCAUAUUCCUUCUUUCUUACCUUCAUUUUCAUCAUCCAUUACUAUAAUCACUCUCUUGCUCUGUCUCCUCCAAUUGUGUUGGCUUCUUUGUCUCCCUCUAUCUCCCCGUCCACCACUCACACUCUGUAUCUCUCUCUCAAAUAAACAUUAAAACAAAAUCAAUACCUCAAAGUAACCAAUCAGGUAAUAAGAGAGAAAGGAAUAAUAGAACAUCACCAUUUUGUAAACCCUCAAUGAGAUCAAGAUCAUCAAUAGCUCUAAUGUUACAAAGGAGAGACACUUGAAGGUUAUGUGCCUCCUGAUGAAAAGACACAGCACCACCUAUGGAGUAUUCUUGAUGAAAACCUGAACCUGAAUCAAAGCAAGCCUUUAUAUCUAACAACCGUUUACAGAAAAUGAAAGGAGAUAGAGGAAAUGGUUAAAUGUCACCAUAGGAAUGCAAUCAGCAAAAUCCUGAAUAGGAAAUUUCUGAAGGACAAAAAUCUCUAUUUCUUCACCAAAAAGGGGGUGAUAAAGAAGUGGAGAGGGAAGAUCUGUAGAUUAUAAUAGAUUUAAGAGAGUUGCCAUCAAGUGUAACAUUAGCUCUUUGAGGAUGGUGCCAUAUAGGCCAUACGACAUGAUAUAUGACAAUCAUAUGACAACCUGACAUCACUAUUAAGUGAUGAUAUCACUAUUAACCUCACAUGCCCACACCCUUGAUUCCACCUGCCCCCUCAAACCUUGUCCCUCCCCAGGCUUGCCCAUGUUUCCCAUCUUCACAAAUGGCCCCACCACCAUCUGGUUGCUCAAGGCUAUGCCAACACUGCCUUUGGAAAUCGUAGAAGGUUUACAGAAAGACAUUGCCCAGGAGUCAGAAAACCUGAGAGUCCCAGUUUUCUCCCUUUUACUGGUUGUUGUUGCUCUUGGGCAAUGCACACGCGCUCUUUGUGCCUGAGCUUCUCACCUACAAUCUGGGAGUUUGGGAGUGGGCUCUUGAGCACUCUUCCCUGCUCUCAAGACUUUAGGCUCCCAGGUGGCCCCUUGCAUAUGGCAGAACUACACAGGGACAGAAAUCGCUGAAGGAGGGAAGCCAAAUGUCAGGGGAAGGAGACUGGGAUUCAGGACUCAUCUCAUCCAUCAGGAGAAAGGGCCUGAGGAUUGGCCUGUUGUCAUCUAUCUGGAAUCAUACCCAAGAGGAAGCACAGACAUCCCUGGCUACCAUACAGCAAGGAAGGGGCCAACCCAGGAAAGGGGUGAAAGGUGAUGUCAGCCAUCUGAAGUUUCCCAGGGAUGGUGAGAAGUCACAAGACAAAGCCCUUUGAGAAAUAGUCACCAGUCUAUGUUCCCACUGGGCUGUGCCCUGGGAGAGGCACAAGAACCCGCCCCAACGCCUGAGAGAGGGACACUGGAGGCCUAAGACCAACUCCCUGAAGUCUUGACUUCUAGUGAAUCUACAUUGGCUGACUUCCCCGGAUUUAUGAGGAUGCUUCUGGAAUCUUCUGCAAAGCUUCCAGCUUCCUGGCAGAACUCCAUUACUAGAGGGAUGUUGGAAAGCAGCAACCUGCAAGAUGUGCAUGUGAAUACGCAGAAGCACACCUGAAGGAGCCAACACCAAACUGAAAACCAAGGUCACCUCUGGGGAGGUGAGGAGGAGACCAGAAAUGGAGGUCAGCUGAGGGUUCUGAUCCAUGCCAUCGUCAUUCAGGGAUCUAGACCUCAUCAUCUGAAAUGUCAUUGGUCACCAUGGCAGAGAGAAGGAUCACAAUCAACAUGACAGAAGUAGAAGCUCUUUCCAUCCCACUCUCUUUGACCUAACAGGGAUCAGCUCUUGAGACUCCACUUCUGAAAAGCUGUAUGUAAUGAUGAGUCAUUAAAGUCUCUUGAAACAUC